UGAGGAAUAUUGGUCAAUGGGCGGGAGCCUGAACCAGCCAAGUCGCGUGAGGGAAGACGGUCCUAUGGAUUGUAAACCUCUUUUGUCGGGGAGCAAAGAGGCCACGUGUGGUCAAAAGCGAGAGUACCCGAAGAAAAGCAUCGGCUAACUCCGUGCCAGCAGCCGCGGUAAUACGGAGGAUGCGAGCGUUAUCCGGAUUUAUUGGGUUUAAAGGGUGCGUAGGCGGGACGGUAAGUCAGCGGUAAAAAUGCGGAGCUCAACUCCGUCGAGCCGUUGAAACUGCCGUUCUUGAGUGAGCGAGAAGUAUCCGGAAUGCGUGGUGUAGCGGUGAAAUGCAUAGAUAUCACGCAGAACUCCGAUUGCGAAGGCAGCAUACCGGCGCUCAACUGACGCUGAAGCACGAAGGCGUGGGUAUCGAACAGGAUUAGAUACC
rnacentral:rRNA from 1 species